rnacentral:rRNA from 1 species
GAUGAACGCUAGCUACAGGCUUAACACAUGCAAGUCGAGGGGUAGCACGGAGGAAGCUUGCUUCCUUGGGUGACGACCGGCGCACGGGUGAGUAACGCGUAUCCGACCUACCCAUUACUCGGGCACAGCCGCUCGAAAGAGUGAUUGAUUCCCGAUAUGUCCUUGGAGUAGAUUCAAUGAUGAAAGAUUUAUCGGUAAUGGAUGGGGAUGCGUAAGAUUAGGUAGUAGGCGGGGUAACGGCCCACCUAGCCGACGAUCUUUAGGGGUUCUGAGAGGAAGGUCCCCCACACUGGUACUGAGACACGGACCAGACUCCUACGGGAGGCAGCAGUGAGGAAUAUUGGUCAAUGGGCGCGAGCCUGAACCAGCCAAGUAGCGUGAAGGAUGACUGCCCUACGGGUUGUAAACUUCUUUUGUUUGGGGAUAAAUGAUACUACGUGUAGUAUUUUGCAUGUACCUUACGAAUAAGCAUCGGCUAAUUCCGUG